GCCCGUGUGGCUCAGUGGUUGAGCAUCAGCCUAGGAACCAGGAGGUGAGGGUUCGAUUCCCGGUCAGGGCA
rnacentral:tRNA from 1 species